UGGGGAAUUUUCCGUAAUGGGCGAAAGCCUGACGGAGCAAUGCCGCGUGGGGGUGGAAGGCCUACGGGUCGUCAACUUCUUUUCUCGGAGAAGAAACAAUGACGGUAUCUGAGGAAUAAGCAUCGGCUAACUCUGUGCUAG
rnacentral:rRNA from 1 species